rnacentral:rRNA from 1 species
UACGUAGGCAGCAAGCGUUGUUCGGAGUUACUGGGCGUAAAGGGUGCGUAGGCGGUUGUUUAAGUUUGGUGUGAAAUCUCCCGGCUCAACUGGGAGGGUGCGCCGAAUACUGAAUGACUAGAGUGCGGGAGAGGAGAGCGGAAUUCCUGGUGUAGCGGUGAAAUGCGUAGAUAUCAGGAGGAACACCGGUGGUGUAGACGGCUCUCUGGACCAUAACUGACACUGAGGCACGAAAGCGUGGGUAGCAAACAGG